rnacentral:rRNA from 1 species
UGGCGGCGCGCCUAACACAUGCAAGUCGAACGAGCGAGAGAGAGCUUGCUUUCUCGAGCGAGUGGCGAACGGGUGAGUAACGCGUGAGGAACCUGCCUCAAAGAGGGGGACAACAGUUGGAAACGACUGCUAAUACCGCAUAAGCCUACGGGUCGGCAUCGACCAGAGGGAAAAGGAGCAAUCCGCUUUGAGAUGGCCUCGCGUCCGAUUAGCUGGUUGGUGAGGUAACGGCCCACCAAGGCGACGAUCGGUAGCCGGACUGAGAGGUUGAACGGCCACAUUGGGACUGAGACACGGCCCAGACUCCUACGGGAGGCAGCAGUGGGGAAUAUUGCACAAUGGGGGAAACCCUGAUGCAGCGACGCCGCGUGGAGGAAGAAGGUCUUCGGAUUGUAAACUCCUGUUGUUGGGGAAGAUAAUGACGGUACCCAACAAGGAAGUGACGGCUAACUACGUGCCAGCAGCCGCGGUAAAACGUAGGUCACAAGCGUUGUCCGGAAUUACUGGGUGUAAAGGGAGCGCAGGCGGGAAGACAAGUUGGAAGUGAAAUCUAUGGGCUCAACCCAUAAACUGCUUUCAAAACUGUUUUUCUUGAGUAGUGCAGAGGUAGGCGGAAUUCCCGGUGUAGCGGUGGAAUGCGUAGAUAUCGGGAGGAACACCAGUGGCGAAGGCGGCCUACUGGGCACCAACUGACGCUGAGGCUCGAAAGUGUGGGUAGCAAACAGAAUUAGAUCCCCUGGUAGUUCCCCCCGUAAAACGACCUUAAAGGGUGUUGGAGGAUUGACCCCUUCCGUGCCGCAGUUAACACAAAUAAGUAAUCCCUCUGGGGAGUACGACCGCAAGGUUGAAACUCAAAGGAAUUCACGGGGGCCCGCACAAGCAGUGGAGUAUGUGGUUUAAUUCGACGCAACGCGAAGAACCUUACCAAGUCUUGACAUCCCUUGACAGACAUAGAAAUAUGUAUUCUCUUCGGAGCAAGGAGACAGGUGGUGCAUGGUUGUCGUCAGCUCGUGUCGUGAGAUGUUGGGUUAAGUCCCGCAACGAGCGCAACCCUUAUGGUCAGUUACUACGCAAGAGGACUCUGGCCAGACUGCCGUUGACAAAACGGAGGAAGGUGGGGAUGACGUCAAAUCAUCAUGCCCUUUAUGACUUGGGCUACACACGUACUACAAUGGCGUUAAACAAAGAGAAGCAAGACCGCGAGGUGGAGCAAAACUCAGAAACAACGUCCCAGUUCGGACUGCAGGCUGCAACUCGCCUGCACGAAGUCGGAAUUGCUAGUAAUCGUGGAUCAGCAUGCCACGGUGAAUACGUUCCCGGGCCUUGCACACAGCGCCCGUC